rnacentral:rRNA from 1 species
CUAUGCGCCUUGCCAGCCCGCUCAGGUGUGCCAGCAGCCGCGGUAAUACGGAGGAUGCGAGCGUUAUCCGGAUUUAUUGGGUUUAAAGGGUGCGUAGGCGGGCUUUAAGUCAGCGGUAAAAAUUCGGGGCUCAACCCCGUCCGGCCGUUGAAACUGGGGGUCUUGAGUGGGCGAGAAGAAGGCGGAAUGCGUGGUGUAGCGGUGAAAUGCAUAGAUAUCACGCAGAACCCCGAUUGCGAAGGCAGCCUUCCGGCGCCCUACUGACGCUGAGGCACGAAAGUGCGGGGAUCGAACAGG